rnacentral:tRNA from 1 species
GGAGAGGUGGCCGAGCGGCUGAAGGCGCUCCCCUGCUAAGGGAGUAUGGGGCCAAAAGUUCCAUCGAGGGUUCAAAUCCCUCCCUCUCCGCCA